CUUCCUUGCUUCUCUUCACCUUGUUGGAAACAGCAGCAGAAGAAGCAGAUGACAAUUUCUUGGCCUUAGUGUAUGAUCUGAUAUUGCUCUUAGCAUGCUGAUGAAAGGAUCUAAAAGAAUGGUUCCACCUGCAUACACCAAGUUGGUCUUUUAAGGCCUCCACUCCUCCUGUGCUUAAUGCUAUCAUCCAAGCUCUUACUGCUGCACUCAUGUUGUACCUUUGUUGAAUGGACUAGUGUUGAUAUUUUUUCAAUAUAUAUGGGGGUAUGAUUUAGAAGUGGGAGUUAAGAAGUAAUUCAGGUGCUUGUUUGUUGGGGAAGUAACAAAAACUGGAAAAAUAACUAGGGGCAGUGUCAAAUGUCUUGUUUCCCAAGACUAACUUUUUUCUUAUUGGCUAUUCAUAGUUUAAUUUAGGUAAUAAUAUUUUGGUUUUAACUUAUUUUCCAAGUUAAGUUUGGCACCUUAACUCUAAAAUGAGUAAUUUUGGUCCCUAAUUAACGUUGUGUUAAUGCAAUUAGGACUGAUAAGGAAACAAAUCAGAAGGGAAAAUACCAAUAGACUCAACUGGAAGUUAGCAAUUAAGGAAAAAAAGGAGUAGUUACAGAAUUUUGAUCAAAAUAAUUACUUUCCUUUCACAACAAAUAUACGUUUAUUUAUACCAGUCUCAUUAAAACCGUUAGAUAUAUCUAACAAAUUAGAGAGAAAACCAUUAACAAUGAAGGAACCCGCUGCAGGGUGGCUUAAAGUUAAGGGGCUCAUCGAUGCAUGCUUAAAUUUUGAGGUAUCAAAUGCGUGCAAGUGCAAAUACUAAUCACUUAAAGGGGUGUAUUUGAUUAGGAUUUUAAAAGAUUAUUUUUGUAUGAAAAAAUCUAGUGAAUUUUAAAAGAUUAUGCAAGAUUUUAAUGACUUUUAGGAUUUUAAAAGAUUCUCAAGGAUUUCAAGGGAUUUAUAUCUUAAGAUUUUAAAAGACUAUCAAGAUUUCAAUGGAUUAUAUCAAGAAGUUAAUUGUGUUUUUCCUAGAUGCUUAUGGAUGUUUUUAUUUUUUUCAACACUGUACUGCACUAUUAUUAUUUUUUUCCAACACUGUAUUGGAUUGAGAUUUUAAAAUAUUAUUUUGGCAAACAAAAUCUUGAAGAUUUUAAAGGAUUUUGUGAGAUUAUAUUGACUUUGUUGGAUUUUAAAAGACUUUUUUUAAAUGACUUUUUACAAUCAGGAUUUUGAACACAUAAUUUUAAUGGAUUUAUAAUACAAAUUUUUAAGAUUUCAACGGACUUGACGAGAUUUUAAGAUUUGAAAUUAUUGUAUCAAUUUUUAAGAAAAAUUCAAAAUGACCGUAGAUUAAAAAAUAUUAUAAAUCUAUAAUAUCAAAUUGACUAAUAAUAAUAAUAAUAAUAAUGCCUCGUAAGUGUAGCUCAGUUAGUAGCUACCAGGGAUAAUUUUUGCAGGGGUCGGAGUUUGAACUCCGGAUUCUCCACACAUAAUGUGUGUGAAUCUAACCAUUAAACUACUUGACGAAAAAAUAAUAAUAAAAAUGCCUAAAAAGAUAAUGGUCAUUUAACUGUAAUCGUAAGGCAUAUAACAACAACAAAACAAUCCGCUAAAAAAAUAAUAAAUAAUGAUAUUAGUAGAAAAAAAAAAUGACUUGCACAAAACUUCAUAACAAUCUGUAAGACAUUUUUACUGCUUGAACAAAACUGCUAAAGAAAUUAUACUAGUAAAAAAAAUGACUUGUGCAAGGCAUUUUUAUAUUUUAUAUUUGAAUGAUAAUGUUCAUAUUUUACUGCUUGCACAAAACUUUAUAACUUCAUAAAAAUGAUAUUAGUAAAAAAAAUGACUUGUACAAAACUGCUAAAGAACAGUAAAAUCUGUAAAACUUUAAAGUGAAAUGUGAUAACUAUGUAACGUGUGCAGGAAGAUUUUUUUUUUCGAGACUCGAGAAGCAACUACCGUAAAAAAGAAAAUAACGAAAAGCAACUAAAAAAAAUCUCAAGACUAUGUGUGGCAGACAAAAAAGUCUCAAGGCUAGGUGUGAGAUUGUUAGUAGAUGCAUUUUACACUAAAAAGUCUCACAAAAUCCAUUACUCGUAACAAUCCAUUAAAAUCCUUAUAAUUUUGAAUACCAAUAGACAAUUUUUAAGUUGUGCAAAAUCUGAAUUGAAUACCACUGGAUUUUAUUUGGACUCAUUAAAAAAUCUUGAAAAUCCUAAUUGAAUACCACAAGAAUGUUUUAGAUUCCUUAAAAGUCUUGAUUGAAUACCUAAAGACUUUUUUAAAACAAAAAAGUCUUUUAAAAUCCUUUGAAAUAUCAGUUGAAUACACCCCCCUAAGGUUUGUGGAAUUCAGAAAUUUAUCUUAAUAGUUUUAACGUUGAUGUAUGCUCAAACUAAAAACCUUAGUUAGCAUAAAAAAGAGUUGUAUCAUCUCAUCUAAACACUUUUAGACAUUAAUUAUAAAAAAUAAUUAAAAAAAGUUAUUUUUGCUGCAACAAAGAUGCUCAAACUCAAAAUCUUCUGCUAUUUAGAUUUAUAAAAAAAAAAAAAAAAAAAAAAAAAUUAUUUCUUCAUGAAAAGACUCAACUUGCAAGCCCAGUAGACAAAUAAAAUAUGGAAACUAUAUCUCAAUUCUCUUUUUUCUUGGUUACAUAAUAUCUAACUUUCAGCUAAAUGAAAGGAGCAUGAUUUUUAAUUAAGUACUUUGCUACCGCUCUUUAAGUUUGAGGCAUGCAAUCACCUUGGUAAUACUUCAGAUCAACUCACCUAAAUGCUUAAUUAUAAAAAAAUAAAAAAUAAACUUGCACCAAAAUAUUUAAUUAAUAAAUUAUUACAAUACAAUAACAUCAUAAAUUAGCAUCAAUUCAAAGUCCACAAUAUUAAAACCUUGCAGUACUAGGACCCCAACAAUUCAAGUCCAUGACUUUCUUCAUAGAUUCUUCCUUGGUUCUUUUCACCUUGUUGGAAACAGCAGCAGAAGAAGCAGAUGACAAUUUCUUAGCCUGAGUGUAUGAUCUAAUAUUGUUCUUAGCAUGUUGAUGAAGUGACCUAAAAGCAUAGUUCCACCUGCAUACACCAAGUUGGUCUUUUAAAGCUUCCACUGCUCCUAUGCUUGAUGCUACUACCCAUGCUCUUGUUGCUGCACUCAUUUUAUAGUAUUUAAGUACCUUUGUUGAGUCUGAAUUUUUUUGAAUAUAUGAUAUAGUAAAAGUGUAUGAAAUUGUUGUGAUUUGUGUUGAUGGGUUAGUGUUGAUUCAUAUAUAUAUAUGGGAAAGUUAAGUGGUGAUUUAAAAUUAGGAGUUAAGAACUAAACAAGGGGCUUAUGUAAAUUGUAAAUACAAGCAGAGCAAAACAAGGGGCGGUUUCACCUAUUGUUCAUUUGUUUGGAACCAAAUUACGCUUUCCUCAAAAUCUACGCGGUGUCAAAUGUCUAGUCUCCUAUGACUGUUAGUUGUAUUGUCUGUCUUUUUCAUUAAUUAAUUUAAUUUUUUUAAGAGGCGGAAAAACAAUAUGUAAAAGAUCAUUUUAAAUAUCUCAUUUCUCCACGUUUAAAAUGUGUGAGCUCUAACCACUAGACUCAUAUAUCAAAAAAAAAAAAAAACAUCUUUAAAGCACAAGGUAUGUCUGAAAUGGAGUAAAAAGAGUAUAAAUUACAAAGCAAGCUAGAAUACUACCAAAACAAAACAAAAACUAAGGGAAACAUUAUGCGGGACUAUAACCCAUGCAAACGAGGGGAUUAGACCACCAUAAGUAAAAGUCGAAGAAAACAUUAAGUUUAUGAGUCUUUAACCACCAUAGAGAGUGAAACAAGCAUCCUUUCUAAACAUAUGUGAACCACAUAAUUGCAUAGCCUUCUCCCCAAUAUCCGAGGGAAUUGUAGUAGAAAUUCCCAAUCACGUAAGAACAAGAUGUCAAAUGCCACCGAAGAUUGCACAUAUUUUUUUUCAAAAAGACAUCUUUCAAAAAUAUUUUUUUAUCAAAAUCUGUUCAAAAUAGCGUCUCAUUUAUGCAUUUUUUUUUUUUGAAUUAUUGUAUAAAAAAAAAUGGUACUAAAAAGCUGAAAUACUUAAAAUAACUUUUUUUUAACAAACACUUAAAAUAACUUUUUAUGAGAAUCUAGUCAAACUAAUUUCACAUUGGAAGAUUUCUUUAAAAAGUUAUAUCAAAAAGAUCAAACACUAUAAAAAUCAUUUAAACAAAACUAUAACAAACAGAUCCAUCCUUUAACUGAAAGUUGUAUUUUGAUUGAACAUGACUCUUUUCAUGUUAUUGAUAUUAUUUAUAAGUUUUUGAUAUGAUUUUCAAUUUAAAUAAACAAUUUUUUUUUUUAGUUUUUGAUGCUUCUUUUUAUUAGAGUCCAAUUUUUAAGAUUACAUGUUCAAAUUGUUUAAUUCAUCAGCUUGUACCUUCAUCCAUCACAUCUUAGAGCUUUUGGAAUCCAUUCUUGGAGAUUAAAGCCCAGGAGAGUUGGAACUUAGUGUGAAUUGAUGAAGGAAAAAAAAAAGUCAUUAAUUAGACUUGUAUUUUUUUGGCUUAGAAGCUAUUCUUUAAUUCUUACAUAGUCACAAGAUUAAAUCUAUAGUGUUUAGAGAUUUAAUACAGGGACUAAUAGGGGUUAUAAAGUGGACACAAACAACAUCUCAAUUUUCAGUUUUCUUGAUUCAUAAGCAUUAACGAACAAAAUUUUGGAUGAAUUUGAUACAUAAGAUGAGAUGGGAUGGAUAAAAAGUAGUAACUAGUAUCUAACCUGCAUCAUAAUGGAUUUAUUACAUUACAAUACAUUAUAAAUCAGCAUUAAUUAAAUGUCCACAAUAUUAAAACCUUGCAGUACUAGGACCCCAGCAAUUCAAGUCAAUGACUUUCCUCAUAGAUUCUUCCUUGCUUCUCUUCACCUUAUUCGAAACAGCAGCAGAUGAAGCAGAGGACAAUUUCUUGGCUUGAGAGUAUGAUCUAAUAUUGUUCUUAGCAUGUUGAUGAAGUGAUCUAAAAGCAUAGUUCCACCUGCAUACACCAAGUUGGUCUUUUAAUGCUUCCACUGCUCCUAUGCUUGAUGCUACUACCCAAGCUUUUGUUGCUGCACUCAUGUUGUUUGUUGUAACUUGUACCUUUGUUGAAUAUUAUGAUGAAGUUGUUUUGUUUUGAUGUGUGAUGAUGAAUUAGUGUUGAUAAAUUCUUAUAUAUAUAUGUAUGAGGGUAAGUUGAGUGAAUUAGAAGUGGGAGUUAAGAACUAAACAAGGGGCAUAAGCAAAAAUACAAGCAGAACAAAACUAGGGGCGGUUUCACCUAUUGUUUGGAACGGAUACACAAUUUUCUCAAAAGCUACGCGGGUGUGACUCAAAUGUCUAGUCUUUUAUGACCAACUUUAUUCAUUCUAUUAAUUAAAUUAAUAACUCUCAAAAAUCAAUUCCCUCAAAAUAAAUAAAUAAAUACUCUAAAAAAAAUUAUUAAAUUAAUAAUUUAACUAUACUUGGAGGGACUAAAUGGAUCACCCAUAUUUACUCAAUAUCUGAUUCGGUAACCAUCUAAUAUGGGUGAACCAUUUCACUAUCAACUUGCAGGGACUCUAUUUAAAGUCGGAGCAAAAUUUUGUAUGAAUUAUCCCAUAAAAAUUGACACUGUGAGAAUUAGAACACAAGGCUUUAAGAAAAACAUACUCCAUAGUCUCAAACUUAUACCAUCAAACAACUUUUAGUUUAAAUACCUUAUUACUUUAAUAAACUUAAUAUUUGCAUUAUUCUUAAUAUUGGCAACAAAAAACAUUGUUUGAAAUUGUAGGGCACUAGGCGCUCUUCUGACUCUUAAUAAGGCAACUAAGAAAAUAACUUUUUUUGUCACUUUGCCAUAGUUUUAAUAGAGCUUGAUCCAACUUUAAAUUUGCGUGAAAGAAUCCUCGUUGAAAGGAAGGAUUUUGAUUUCUAUGCGGAUGUUGAGUAUGAGAAACUUCCGCCUUUAUGUAACUCAUGUCAGAUUGUUGGACAUUCUCUUAAGUACUGCAAGUAUCAGAUUCCUCCAAAAGUGCAACAUAGUAUACCCAAUGGUUCAAAUAUUGAUAAGGCGGAUGUAGAGAUCACACCUCCUGUAAGUACUUUUCCAAAAAAUGUUACUUGUUGCAGUAAAACUGUUGUAGAAAUAGUCCUCUUAUUGAUGAUAUACUAAGGUUUAAGGAAAUAGCAACUUGUGUGUUUGUGGAAGAUGUCUUAAACCAUGAGGAAGAGAUUUCUAAUAUUUUUGUUGGAGCAGAUCAUGAUUUUGUACUGCCUGAGAAAUAGAGGGAGGCUCAUCAGAGCAACCAAUAUUCAAAUAUGUGUAUAGUUGAUCUUUAGAGUGAUACAAUCACUGAUCUCGACUAUAUUCAUAAUACUCAUUCUUGGAAUUACAUGGGUUCUUGUGAUGAAAUAGUAGCAGACUAUGUUCCUUUGGGAGACCAUGUCAUACAAACUUCAACUCAUGAGCCUUUUGGUAGUGCCAUGAUAGCGACAUACUCUAACUUGUCAAACUUCAGUGCAAAUGUUAUUCGCGACAUCAAGUUUUAGGGUUAGUUUUUACUGAGGCCCAACAAGCUAGGGUGUUUCUAAGCAAAUCAUGGGAUAACAUGACUCAAAAUGAAGAGCAAUUUCAAUUGGUGGUCCUAAGAAAAUCGAAGAACAAGUUAAAAUAACAGCAGAGUUAAAAUAACAGCAAUUCCACUCGCUCGACUCGCUAGUCCUUUAAUGUGUUUUUUUUUUGUCUUUCUUUGUUUGCUUUUUUUUUCUCGAGGCUUUUGGCAUUAGUCCUCUCUCUUUUUAUGUACUCUUUUUCUUUAAAUUAAUAUAUGGUCAGGGUUAUGCAGUAGGUAACCCCUCUGCACUUGAUAUUUUGCAUAAAAAAGACUACAAUGGUUGACAACACUCUCCCUUAAGAGAUUUAACAAUAUUGUUGUAUUUUUAAGAUUGGAUUCAAAUUACGACUCUAGUUAAGAUGAAAGAGAUCCAUUAUCAUAUCAUUCAAGUGAUCUUGGAUUAUUCUUAAGUUAAAUUAGAAAUAAAACAAAGUAUUAAAUAAAUAUUUAGUCCCUGUAAAUACUUCAAACUUUUUAUAAGGAUUUAAGUAUGUGUGUGAAACUCAUUCAAAAUUUAAAAAGUUUAAGGAUAAUAAAACAAAGCAAAUUUAAAAUUAAGAAGGACUAAGACUUCAUACUAAAAUGUUUAUAAGGACAUACACAUACCACUUUUUUUAAUGAGGAUUAAAAGCAUAACUUAAUAUGAACAAAACUUAUUUAACCUAAAAAAAAAAUCAUAUAUGUAUAUUUUUUUUUAGAAAUGAUAUUCGUACUAUUAUUUUAUGAGAGUUUUUGGAAUAACUCUAUCUCUCAUACUUUAAUUGUGUUCUUGCUCUUUUAUUGUGUUAAUAUUUGUAUUUUGUGUAUAUUUUUAGUUGUCUCAUAUAUUGUUCAAAAAAUUGUUGUUUAAAUAACAUUCCUCUUUUCCUUUUUGUAACACCUUAAUUUGUAUUGUUACCAUGAAAAAUACUAGGAAUAAUCGGUUUCUAAAUGAAAAAUAAUACUGAUCUUGUUACCAUAUAUAAUUAAUUCUAUCUUGUUUUGUUAAUAUAUAAAAAUAAAGGAAAAAAUAUUUAAAAAAAAAAAAAAAAAAACAUAAACUCUAAAUAAAGAGGAGCUGUCCCCGUGAGCAUAGCUCAGUUGGCAGGGACAAUACAUUAUUAUAUGCAGGACCGGGGUUCGAACCCCGGACACCCCACUUAUUCACUUUAAAAGUGAAUUUCUAGCCACUAGACUACCUGACAAAAAAAAAAAAAAAAGAGGAGCUUAAGUUUGUUUGUUUUUUUGCGCUAAGAAACUUGAAGCAGCUGUUUAACCUUACAAAACCACGAUCUCAAGCACUUCACCAGGUACCAUAAUGACAUAUUCCUUACAAAAUUGAACGAAUAAACCAUGUUAUACACUACUCCACCUAACCACUAAAAUAUUUAAUUAAAAUCUUAUAGUAGGUGGACCCCAACAAUUCAGGUCCAUGACUUUCUUCAUAGAUUCUUCCUUGUUUCUCUUCCCC
rnacentral:lncRNA from 1 species